rnacentral:rRNA from 1 species
UACGGGGGGGGCAAGCGUUGUUCGGAAUUAUUGGGCGUAAAGAGCUCGUAGGCGGUUUGUCGCGUCGAAUGUGAAAACCCGGGGCUCAACCCCGGGCCUGCAUUCGAUACGGGCAGACUAGAGUUCGGUAGGGGAGUCUGGAAUUCCUGGUGUAGCGGUGAAAUGCGUAGAUAUCUGGAGGAACACCGGUGGCGAAGGCGGCAUCCUGGACCGGCAUUGACGCUGAGGCGCGAAAGCCAGGGGAGCAAACGGG